rnacentral:rRNA from 1 species
UACGAAGGGGCUAGCGUUGCUCGGAAUUACUGGGCGUAAAGGGCGCGUAGGCGGAUAGUUUAGUCAGAGGUAAAAGCCCAGGCUCAACCUUGGAACUGCCUUUGAUACUGGCUAUCUUGAGUACGGAGAGGUGUGUGGAACUCCGAGUGUAGAGGUGAAAUUCGUAGAUAUUCGGAAAGAACACCAGUGGCGAAGGCGACACACUGGCCCGUUACUGACGCUGAGGCGCGAAAGCGUGGGAGCAACAGGGAUUAAGA